CGACUUUCGUGACUGUUGUUCAGACACUGAGGCGACUAUAUGCCAGUCUAUAAUUCUCCAGCCGAUUUCGUCUUGCUCUCGCUCUCAUUCGCUCCACAGAGAGCGAUAUCUACAGCUCAAGUUCACUGUGUGUUUGUUGCUUUUAAGGCGGCUCUCCGGAGCGAGCUUCUUCAGUUUUGUUUUGAUUUCGAAAAUCUGCAACUGGUUGCCUUUGUUUUGAUUUGGUUCUUUCGUGUUUGUUGUUGACUGUUUUUUUGUUUUGUUUUUUGUUUUCUUGUUUUGUUCAUAACAAACGGCGUGCGUGGGAUGGGAAUUCAUUGUUUUAUUUUUACAUUCUAAUUGGUGCGAAUGUGGGUUUUGAGAAUAACUUUGAAGCGUAGUUUAAAUUACGAAACAAUUUUAAUUUUAAUAUAUUUGCAGAUUAUUUUAUUACUAAUGAAAGUGCGUAACACUGUUUUAUUUCUGUGUACUCCUUGCUAACUACGCUUACGAAUUUAUACUCCAUCAAAUGCUUUCAGCUAUUUGCAAAAUUCGUUAUUCCCUUCAUGUUUAUUUAUAUACAAAUGCACAGUUCGAUUUGUAUCUUCCAUUAUGGAGCUGCCUCAAUCAGAGGAGCGCAUUAAUCCGAUAUUCAUAGAAACACAAAUAUCCUGUUCUGUGUGCAAGACCAUUGUUUCGGCAUUUUGGGCAGUUGCCAUGGCCGCAAUUAUCGCCGAUGACCUUGAAAGAACACGCCGCUUUUUCACGUCCAAGGUGAACUUAAUUAGCGGCCAAAAGGCCUUUGAAGGACUCGUCGAUCCACACAUGUCAUAACAUAAUAAGGUCUUCGCCACCGUUAGAUAAACAAGCAAAUCAUUCCUUGUCCCAAUGUUGAAACUGACGAUGACGUCGUCCCCUUAUGCAAAUCCCCAGCAGAUAAUGCGACGUACAUGAAUAUAUUACAGAGUUACAAGGUUCCAGUGAUUUCAGCACUUAAGCUUGGAUGAUUUAAGCAUGUUCUACUGGGCGUAUACGCAUUUUUUGGAUAAAACCACUUACGUUCGCAG